rnacentral:rRNA from 1 species
CAAGUCGAACGCGAAAAGUCCCCUUCGGGGGACGAGUAGAGUGGCGUCCGGGUGAGUAACACGUAGGUAAUCUACCUUCGGGUGGGGAAUAACGCAGGGAAACUUGCGCUAAUACCGCAUAAUGCAGCGGCACCACAUGGUGACAGUUGUUAAAGCGGGGGAUUUUCGAACCUCGCGCCUGAAGAGGAGCCUGCGGCAGAUUAGCUAGUUGGUAGGGUAACGGCUUACCAAGGCGACGAUCUGUAGCCGGCCUGAGAGGGCGGUCGGCCACACUGACACUGACAUACGGGUCAGACUCCUACGGGAGGCAGCAGUCGGGAAUUUUGGGCAAUGGGCGAAAGCCUGACCCAGCAACGCCGCGUGAAGGAUGAAAUCCUUCGGGAUGUAAACUUCGCAAGAAUAGGAAGAAUGAGCGAGCGCUAACACCGUUCGUGAUGACGGUACUAUUUGUAAGCUCCGGCUAACUCCGUGCCAGCAGCCGCGGUAAUACGGGGGGAGCAAGCGUUGUUCGGAUUUACUGGGCGUAAAGGGCGCGUAGGCGGUCAGCACAAGUCAGUUGUGAAAUCUCCGGGCUUAACUCGGAAAGGUCAACUGAUACUGUGCGACUAGAGUGCAGAAGGGGCAACUGGAAUUCUCGGUGUAGCGGUGAAAUGCGUAGAUAUCGAGAGGAACACCUGCGGCGAAGGCGGGUUGCUGGGCUGACACUGACGCUGAUGCGCGAAAGCCAGGGGAGCGAACGGGAUUAGAUACCCCGGUAGUCCUGGCCUUAAACGAUGGAUGCUUGGUGUCUGGAGUUUUAUAGUCUCCGGGUGCCGUAGCUAACGCGUUAAGCAUCCCGCCUGGGGAGUACGGUCGCAAGACUGAAACUCAAAGGAAUUGACGGGGACC